GAACACUACAAGCAAUAGCUUAAAACUCAAAGGACUUGGCGGUGCUUUAUAUACCUCUAGAGGAGCCUGUUCUAUAAUGGAUAAACCCUGAUUUACCUCAUCAUCUUUUGCUCAGCCUAUAUACCAUCAUCUUCAGCAAACCCUAGUAAAGGCCAUAAAGUAAGCACAAGUAUCUACGUAAAAACGUUAGGUCAAGGUGUAGCCCGUGGGGCGCUAAGAAAUGGGCUACAUUUUCUACACCCAGAAAAUCUCACGACAACCCUUAUGGAAUCUAAGGGCUCAAGUAGGAUUUAGCAGUAUAUUAAGAGCAGAGUGCUUAAUUGAAUGAGGCCAUAAAGCAUGUACACACUGCCCGUCACCCUCCUCAAAUAUUACUUUAGAGAUUAGUUUAACUAAAACCCCUACAUAUUUAUAUAGAAGAGACAAGUCAUAACAUGGUAAGUAUACUGGAAAGUGCACUUG
rfam:Macaca mulatta chromosome 3, whole genome shotgun sequence.